rnacentral:snRNA from 1 species
GUGCUCGCUUCAGCAGCACAUAUACUAAAACUGGAAUGAUACAGAGAAGAUUAGCAUGGCCCCUGCCCAAGGAUGACAUGAAAAUUUGUGAGGCAUUCCAUAUUUUU